rnacentral:ncRNA from 1 species
AUAUUUUUAAUUUGAUCCAUUUACCUGCUAUUGGUUUGCGUCUAAAGUGUAAUGAUUAUUAAGGAUGGAUGGGGAUGUUCAUAUUGGUGGGAGAGAGGUGAAAUUCGUUGACCCUAUCAAAAUGAACUUCUGCGAAGGCAUUCAUCAAAUACUUCCCCAUUAAUCAAGAACGAAAGCUUGGGGAUUGAAGACGAUCAGAUACCGUCGUAAUCCAAAAAAUAAAAUAAAACU